rnacentral:rRNA from 1 species
UGCCGCCCUGAAGGGCGUAUGGUGGAUGCCUUGGCAGACAGUACCGAUGAAGGACGUUUGAGGAUGCGAUAAGCCUCGGGGAGCCUCCAACAUGGCUUCGAUCCGAGGAUUUCCGAAUGGGGCAACCCGCCGGCCGUCAUGGGCCGGCACGGAACCUUGUUGUUCCGGGGGUACGCAGGGAAGUGAAACAUCUCAGUACCUGCAGGAAGGGAUACUCCGUGAGUAGUGGCGAGCGAAAGCGGAUCAGACCAAACCGUGGGCGCGUGAUACCCGUCGGGGGUUGCGUCCGUGGUGUUGAGGGAGCGUGUGUCCCGGUUCCGACGGACCGGGCGGGAGUCAUAAAACGGCUUGCCAGGGGAACAGGCUUGAAGGCCUGGCCGCAGAGGGUGCCAGCCCCGUACCUGGACGUGAGCCGUCUUCCGAUCGUGUUGUCCCAAGUAGCGCGGGCCUCGUGGAAUCCCGUGUGAAUCGGCCCCGACCGUGGGGUAAGUCUAAGCAUACCUGUCUGACCGAUAGCGUACCAGUACCGUGAGGGAAAGGUGAAAAGCACCCCGGGAGGGGAGUGAAACAGUACCUGAAACCGUGCGCCCACGAGCAGUCGGAGCAACUUUUUAGUUGUGACGGCGUGCCUUUUGUAGAAUGAGCCAGCGAGUCGCUGGCGCGGGGCGAGGUUAACCGAAAGGGAGCCGGAGCGAAAGCGAGCCUUAACAGGGCGACUUGAGUCCCGCGCCGCGGACGCGAAGCCGGGUGAGCUAUCCGUGGGCAGGCUGAAGCGGGGGUAAGACCCCGUGGAGGGCCGAACGCACGUCGGUUGAAAACGGCGGCGAUGACCUGCGGAUAGGGGUGAAAGGCCAAUCAAACCCGGAGAUAUCUCGUUCUCCCCGAAAUAGCUUUAGGGCUAGCGUCGCGCGUUCACCGCCGGAGGUAGAGCACCGGAUGGACGAGGGGGCUUCGCCGCCUACCGAAUCCAACCGAACUCCGAAUGCCGGCGGCCCAGAGCGCGGCAGUCAGAGCAUGUGGGCUAAGCUGUGUGCUCGAGAGGGAAACAGCCCGGACCGCCCGCUAAGGUCCCCAAGUUCCAGCCGAGUGGCAAAGGAUGUGCGUCCGCCCAGACAACCAGGAUGUUGGCUUAGAAGCAGCCAUACAUUCAAAGAGUGCGUAACAGCUCACUGGUCGAGUGGACAUGCGCCGACAAUACACGGGGCUAAGCUGGACACCGAAGCGGCGGGAUUUUAAUUCAUUAGAAUCGGUAGGGGAGCUUCCCAUGGGCGGAGAAGCCGGAGGGCGACCGACGGUGGAGCGCAUGGGAGUGAGAAUGCUGGCAUGAGUAGCGAGAGACGAGAGAGUAACUCGUCCGCCGUGAACCCGAGGUUUCCUGGGCAAGGCUAAUCCUCCCAGGGUCAGUCGGGGGCUAAGGCGAGGCCGGGAGGCGUAGCCGACGCGCAGCAGGCAGACAUUCCUGCACCGCGCACGCGGCGCUACGACCGACGGGGCGACGGAUGGGGGUGGCUCGGCGGGGUUCUGGACGUCCCCGUGAUGGAGCGCGGCCCGAGGGACAGGGAAAUCCGUCCCUCGCGAAGGGCGAGGCUCCGGACGAAGCGAUUGAGCGAAGCGAGUGAGCCCGAGGUCCCUAGAAAAACCCCUAGGCAGGCGCGUGCGCGCCCGUACCGCAAACCGACACAGGUGGGUGGGUAGAACAUACCGAGGCGAUCGGGUCAACCAUGGUCAAGGAACUCGGCACAAUGGCCCCGUAACUUCGGGAGAAGGGGUGCCCGCGCGUACGUGAACCGGCUCGCCCGGGGAGCGGAGGCGGGCCGCAGUGGAGAGGCCCAAGCGACUGUUUACCAAAAACACAGGACUCUGCAGAAGCCGCAAGGCGACGUAUAGGGUCUGACGCCUGCCCGGUGCCGGAAGGUCACGCGGAGGAGUUAGCCGAUUCGGCGAAGCCCCGAAGCCAAGCCCCGGUAAACGGCGGCCGUAACUAUAACGGUCCUAAGGUAGCGAAAUUCCUUGUCGGGU